CGGCGGACGGGUGAGUAACGCGUGGGCAACCUGCCUUACACAGGGGGAUAACAGUUAGAAAUGACUGCUAAUACCGCAUAAGACCGCGGAACCGCAUGGUUCUGAGGUAAAAACUCCGGUGGUGUAAGACGGGCCCGCGUCUGAUUAGGUAGUUGGUGAGGUAACGGCUCACCAAGCCGACGAUCAGUAGCCGACCUGAGAGGGUGACCGGCCACAUUGGGACUGAGACACGGCCCAGACUCCUACGGAAGGCAGCAG
rnacentral:rRNA from 1 species